AUACCGGCUGCUCGAGUGAUGGCCACUAUUACUGGGUUUAAAGCGUCCGUAGCUUGACUGUUAGGUCUCUUGGGAAAUCUUCACGCUCAACGUGAAGGCGUCUAAGAGAUACCGGCAGUCUUGGAACUGGGAGAGGUAAACCGUACUUCGGGGGUAGGAGUGAAAUCUUGUAAUCCUCGAGGGACGACCUAUGGCGAAGGCAGUUUACCAGAACAGCUUCGACAGUGAGGGACGAAAGCUGGGGGAGCAAACGGGAUUAGAUACCCCGGUAGUCCCAGCCGUAAACAAUGUGCGUUAGGUGUGUCGGUAACCACGUGUUACUGAUGCGCCGAAGAGAAAUCGUGAAACGCACCACCUGGGAAGUACGGUCGCAAGGCUGAAACUUAAAUGAAUUGGCGGGG
rnacentral:rRNA from 1 species